AAAUCCUUAAUCAUGCCAAAACGCCAUUCUCCUGCCUCAGCCUCCCGAGUAGCUGGGACUACAGGCGCCCGCCACCACGCCCAGCUAAUUUUUUCUAUUUUUAGUAGAGACGGGGUUUCACCGUGUUAGCCAGGAUGGUCUCGAUCUCCUGACCUCGUGAUCUGCCCGCCUCGGUAAAUAACAAACAUUGGCGAAGAUGUGGAGAAACUGAAACCCUUAUGCACUGCUGGUGAGAAUGUCCAAUGGUACAGCUGCUGGGUGUAUAUCAUUUUUUCUUACGUGCUUCAAAUAGUAACAUAUCUAUUCCCUCACCCUAUGACAAAUCUCAAUACAAUGCUGAUGUCAAUCUUUAGUCUUCUCCUCUCCAGGCCAAACAAUCCUAGUUUUCUCAUGGCAGUGUCUUGAUCAUUCACUACCCUAAGUCUCCUCUGGGUGCUUUCUAAUUUACUCCUAAUGUUCUUUCUAAAAUGCUCACCUAAAUUCUGUAUAAUCUGGACAACACAUGGUACAGUAGAACUAUUUUUUGCCCAUGCUCUUACUGCUGUAUAUUACUCUUACUGCUGGAUAUUACCAUAAAACCUAACAUUGUAUUAGGCUUCAAUUAGAGUUCACAUCAGAGUGUUGCUUCAUAUAUUUAAAAGCACAGAUUUUAUAGCAAUUAAUUAAAUGAACAUAAUUUAAAAGAGUUGCUGUUAACUAUAAACUUAGAAAAGUCUAUACAUAAAAAUCUUUAUGAAGAAAUUCAUCCUCAGAUACCGUAUAACAGCAGAAUGUGUUAUAUACUAUUAUGACUGUAAUUCACAGCAUACAUAUACUAUGUGGCAUUGAUAUAAUUAUGGUCACAGAAAAGGUAUAUUUGUUAAUACUUAUUUUAUUUGGAUAUAAAAACUUAAUAAACAUGUAAAUGAAUUCAACCUUUAAUUGCCAAACCUGGCAUUAAAGAACUUGAUAUGAAAUGAACACAUAACUUCAGAAAAGAGAUCUUGAGUACUAAAAAUCCAAUGUGAACACACUUUAGAUUUAAGCAUUUGAAUGACUGAAUUCAUUUCAAUUGACACUUACCUUGAACAUUUAGCACCCUUUCUACAUUAACAUCAGAUAAUCUCUUUUUUCGAAGUUCAGCACGUAUUCUAAACACUUGAUCAGCAUAUGGAGUCACCACACCAAUACUGCCAUCAUCUAACUUCCCCCACGCUACUGGCCACUUCCUUCUUAACUCUUCUACACGUUCCACCACUUCAAACACCUUUAAAAACAAACACACACAUACAUAUUAAAGUUAUCACCAAUGUUUGGAGAAAAUAAUAUCGUAACUAAAACUGAUUUAUAAAGGAUCCCAUUUUAGCAGAUGUCAUUUAAAAAAAAAAAAAAACUACCCCUAAAUGGGAGUAAUGCUUUGCUGAUGUGAACUGAAUGAGAAUAUAAAUUUUUCAUUUACAUUUUAAACAGUAAAAUUCUCCAAUAAUACAACCAGUGAAAACAUGAAAAUCAGGGACAAUGCUAUUGGCCCCCAAGUUCCUGUGUAGGGAGGAACAAGCUCAAGUUCCUGUGUGGGAAAAAGACAGGCCAUGAUUCUAGGGAAGGCAAGUUCUCACAGCCCCAGUAAUUCUCAGUCCACUCUCUCCAGAUCAGGCCAAUGAAACUAACCAACCAACUAGAAGCUUCCUGUCAUCAGUGACAUCACUAAGUCCCAGCAGUACAAGGUCUAACAUUGUCCCCUUCCUCACUGAUAUAACUAAGCAGACCAGCCAACAGCCACCAAUUGACAACAAACCACAGCUGGGACUAGGCCACAUUUGGAUCACAGAGAAAGACUUUCAGAAUUCACUGCCUGCUAGUGGUACAAGUCCAGCCAAGCCAUUUCAUUAACCUUGCAAUAAAGCAAUGCCACAGUUUAUGCAACUGAAUUUUUCAGACCCCAAUUACUGGAUUAUGAUAGGGUUUUUAGGAUAGUUUGUUCUAUUUUAAUUCAAUGAAUUGAUCAAACAGUUUCAAUGUCUGGCACAGUGGAGAAGGUACAAAAGUUAAUAAAACAUGUUCCUUGCCCGCUACUUACUGAGAAGAACUUAUGGUUUAUUUAGAAAAGAGAGUCAUAAUAAAAAAAAUAUAUAAGGCAAGCACAAAUAGAGGGUCAGUCAAGAGUCCAGGGGCAUACAGAGGAAGGAGGUGUGUUUUCAAAUGUCUUUAAGUACAUCGUUUCUUUAUUAUUUACUAACAGUAUCUAUUUUAAUUUAUAAUAUUAAAUAUAUUUAAUAAAAAUUGACAAUUUUCAUCCUUUGAAAAACUUGAGGUUACUGACUACGAAGCAGUUCCCAUGUCCAGAUACAAAUUCAGUGAACUACAGAGGUAAGGACUACAGUCAUCCUAUCGUUAUUAUGAUACAGCAGCAAGUGUAUCACAUACACAGACUACCCAGGGAAGGUGAAGAGCAAACUGGACUAAAGACAUGGCAUUCUCACUAUCAGGAAACAGAGUAGACAUACUCAGUCUACUGCAAUAAGGAAUAAGAAAAAGUUAUCUUUACCCAUGUGGUUAGAUGUGGGGAUAGAUGAGUUGGGAGACACCUCUGCUGCGCCCUCCCACCCCACAGAGUUCCCACCUCUAAGCAACACACAACCAUUUCUGCACUUUAUCCUCCUGUCAUGUAGUCAAAAAACAGACUUAGAAUGAUGAUAUGAGUCAUUCUGGGAAACCUCUCUCCCAGAAAAACAUCUUCUAAGCUGGUCAAAAUUAGCAAAGACAAUCAUUCAAAGUCUCUAAAGACAGAUCAAAGAGGUUACAAGAAAUUGAGAAGCAUCCAUCUAUUCAACAAAACCUGUAAAAACUCACUGAGAACAGUGGAAGGUUGAGGCCUACAAGCUAUGGACUGCCCCCUUUCCCCCACAGCUCUUACAGAACUGUUUUAACGGCCAAGGGGCAAUUCCCAUCGCCCUAGCUCCCUCCUAUUCCAGGUACUUUUGGCAGCUGGUAAACAUUGGCAGAUUUCAUUUUUCACAGCUUUGUGCUGCAGAAGGCCUAUGAUAAGCAGUUGGUAGUAGUCAGGUGGUACCCAACCCCCAUCUCCUGCUACAUAGGGAGUGGGACAGUG
rnacentral:lncRNA from 10 species